rnacentral:rRNA from 1 species
CCUACGGUGGGCAGCAGUGAGGAAUAUUGGUCAAUGGGCUUACGCCUGCACCAGCCAAGUCGCGUGAGGGAAGACUGCCCUAUGGGUUGUAAACCGCUUGUAUAAGGGAAGAAUAAAUGCUACGUGUAGCAUGAUGCCUGUACCUUAUGAAUAAGCAUCGGCUAACUCCUUGCAAGCAGCCGCGGUAAUACGGAGGAUGCGAGCGUUAUCCGGAUUUAUUGGGUUUAAAGGGUGCGUAGGCGGUUUUUUAAGUUAGUGGUUAAACGUCGGGGCUUCACCUUGAUUUGCCAUUAAUACUGUAAGACUCGAGUUCAGACGAGGUAGGCGGAAUAAGUUAAGUAGCGGUGAAAUGCUUAGAUAUAACUUAGAACUCCAAUAGCGAAGGCAGCUUACCAGACUGCGACUGACGCUGAAGCACGAGAGCGUGGGUAGCGAACAGGAUUAGAUACCCUGGUAGUC